UCAAAAGCAGCACUGCCCCUGUCCAAGAUGUCUCUAUAGCGUUGGUAUGUCUCCUCAUUGUCCACCAGUUUGGCCAUUUUACACAUCACACACAGGGACGCUAACCACAAUCCACCACAGUAUGCACUUGGUCCAGUCACUUUCCAACCGUCAUAGGUCUGGUCCGCAUAUCCAGAGUUCUCUAUCAGGCCAUCUCCAUCCAAGUCAAACUUCAUCUCUGUCUCCAUCACUGCCUAGCAGAACAACCAUGAUGAGAUAGUUAAGUGUAAUAAAAAUGUGACCAAGCACCAUAUAAUCCAGCAAACUUGUUUUGUGUUACCACUACAGAUGGGAUCUGAAAUGCAGACUAGGGCUGAAUGAUUAAUCGUUUUCAAAUCAAAAUCAAAUUUUUGAAAGAAUCGUGAAGACAAUUAAUGUGAAAUAUUUAGUUGACUAUUUGGUGUCACAUUUGAUUUAAUAUUUUUUAUUCCUCUUUUCAUUAUUAUAUUUACUGUUUUUUCACAAGAUAAAUGCUGGAAAAAUUUUACAUAUUCAAUGGAUCUUUUAUUUAUUUUGUAUUACUUUAUAUAACAUUAUCGUAGAAGGUGCAAGACCUAGCUAAAAAAAUAAAACAAAAACUCAAAUUGAAUCAUAGUUACAAUACCUGGCAGGAAAAUCACAACUAGACUUUCCCCCCUUAAAUCAUUCAGCCCUAAUGCAGACUAUGUGGAUCAGUUAUACCUGGCAGACGGGCCACAUGUCCUGCAGGUACUGAUUGUCCUGUGUGAGAUGAAAGUCCCUGUAGACCUGCAGGACAAACUUCAGGUUCAGGUCCUUCCAGUCUGCAGUGUCAUGGAUGAGGUAGGCAUUUACCCUCUGCCAUGGCUCAUCAUCUAGGGACAGAGUCAUCAUGUUAUACUGCGAGACCAUUCAUGACGGUAAAAAAACUUGCCCGGUAAAAAAGCCGCUUUAAAAUGUCAGCACAGAAAUGCACUUAAACUUAUUAAAAUUAAACAUUGAGUUAUCCCUGUAGUUAAUGACAAUGUCUUUCUCCUACCUGGGUCUCCUAUGUCGUGAGGAACCACAUUUUUGGCCUUGACAGGAGAAUACCGCCCACUCAUCAGAUGGAGCCUUUCUGUGGGGUCAUGCUGAACCACACUGCCAGCUGAGAAGAGAUUAAUGCCCCUAAAUAAACCCUUGUCCUUGUAUUGCUCUUUUUCAAAUACACAUGCUUAGAUUAUUGAUAAAACAUUAAGACAAAAGAACUUCACCCACCAAUAUCGUAUUGCAAACUCAAGGCAAGUUUGGGCCACAGCAUGAUAAGUGCAAAGGAGGCGUAGAAGUGCACAUCGUAGGUGUUAUACAUUCUGUACUCCUGACCUGGGAAACAACAAUAACAUAGCAAUAUUGGUCACAUAUUUAAUUUAGGCAGAUUUACUUUUGCCAACCCUGAAUACUGAAUGCAAGUUAGUUUCUCUUGUGCGACAGACUUCUGUUUUCUUCAAUAAACGACAACAAUUGCAUGAGUUUGGCUGAGCAAGUUUUAGCAUGAAUCCACAAAAUUCUCACAUUUAAGAAGUUGGAACCAGGGAAUGUUUAAUUAUUUGCUUAGUUGCAGAGGAAUUCUUUUGUCCAACUAAUCAAUUCAUUAUUUGAGCCCUAAACUGUGUCUAGUUUUGCAGACUAACACGUUUCUUUGGCACUUACCUUCCAGGUAGGCAAAACGGCCAAACUCCUUGAUGACAGCAGGCUGAGCUGGCAGCCCCCCGUCCUUACUGCGCACCCCACCACUGACAUCAGCAUCCUCCGGUAGCUCUGUCCACACCGUCCCUCCAUCCACCACAAAGUACAACUCAUUAAACAGGGCUGACUUAUACCAGGAGGGGAGAGAACUGCAACACAAGCCAAGGUGAGAGGAUAAACACAUUUUAAGCAUUCAUAGACAGAAAAACAUAUUGAUUGGUGUUGAGGUCAUUGUAAUUUAUCAUUGUCUUUGUAAGCUAGUACUUAUUUCUCAUGUAACGUACAGACUACCUGUCCUGGAGUAUGGGUCUUUGCCCCUCCUCAAUGCUCUUCUCCCACUGUGUGUAGUGUGUUAGGGCGUAGUGACUGAGCGAGGGGGACGCGUCCCCUUUGGUCCCAAAGUAACGCGUGUAUCUCCUGGACACAGAAAAGCCACAAGCUGAUGUUAGAGACACAAGGACACUGCAUGUUCAACAAAUGCAAAUACAAAAGCA